rnacentral:rRNA from 1 species
UACGUAGGGUGCAAGCGUUGUCCGGAAUUAUUGGGCGUAAAGAGCUCGUAGGCGGUCUGUCGCGUCUGCUGUGAAAACUCAGGGCUUAACCCUGAGCUUGCAGUGGGUACGGGCAGACUAGAGUUCGGUAGGGGAGACUGGAAUUCCUGGUGUAGCGGUGAAAUGCGCAGAUAUCAGGAGGAACACCGGUGGCGAAGGCGGGUCUCUGGGCCGUAACUGACGCUGAGGAGCGAAAGCAUGGGGAGCGAACAGG